rnacentral:rRNA from 1 species
ACGUAGGGUGCGAGCGUUAAUCGGAAUUACUGGGCGUAAAGCGCACGCAGGCGGUCGGAUGAGUCGGAUGUGAAAGCCCUGGGCUUAACCUGGGAACUGCAUUCGAUACUGUCUGGCUAGAGUAUGGGAGAGGGAAGCGGAAUUUCCGGUGUAGCGGUGAAAUGCGUAGAGAUCCGGAGGAACACCAGAGGCGAAGGCGACACCCUGGGCCGUACCUGACGCUAAGACGCGACAGCACGGGGAGCGAACGG